GCACGAGUCGCCUAAGCGCUAAAUGGGGCGAAGAUUUUCUUGCUGCCAUUCGCAGGGCAGCGGAGUCUACAUAAUUGCUGUUUGCUGGUCAUAGUGUCGGUACUCUCUCAUUGUGUGGGUUGGGAAUUGAGGCCUCCAUCCCUGAAAGGAGAGAGUUGAAUAAAUAAAAAGACCAGGCAUGUUGGAAAAGGUUUGAGGAAAUACCGUCACUACCGCGCUGCGGGUGGGCGCAGGAAGACAUUAGGUUUCUUCUCUCUGUCAAUGUAUGUUGGAAGACGGAAAUUGAUAUGACGACCAAAAAAAAAAAAAGAAAAGAAAUCAUGGAGGCGAAACCAUGUAUUUCGAUUAGGGCCAGUGAUGUAUGUGACUCUCUAACUUGUUCGAGAAAAGAUGUACUAGCUAUAUAAAAAGGGUAGGGAAAAGAAGGUCAACUCCCAUGAAUGAUUCCGUACACUAGCUAUAAACCUGUAUCCUCUUUUUUAUCAACUAAUUCUCCAGCUCUCUUUUCAGUUUCAAGCAUUUUCCAUGUUAAUUUCGACAAUUUUGAGUUUUGAGCGGGCAUUCUAGUUUGCCACUCAAGUUAAUGGGCACACGAUCAUGAAAAUGUACUGUGUAUAUAUAGAUGUACUUUAAGUACGCACAUGUUCCAAAUAAAACAUUACAGAA
rnacentral:sRNA from 2 species